AUUGAACGCUGGCGGCAGGCCUAACACAUGCAAGUCGAGCGAGCGGCGGGCGGGUGAGUAAUGUAUGGGGACCGCCCGCUAGAGGGGGGUAAAUACAGGAAACGGAAGCUAAUACAGCAUACCAUCGGAGAACCCAUAUAGGAGUAGCUAGUAGGUGAGGUAAUGGCUCACCUAGGCGACGAUCCCUAGCUGGUUUGAGAGGAUGAUCAGCCACACUGGGACUGAGACACGGCCCAGACUCCUACGGAGGCAGCAGUGGGGAAUAUUGGACAAUGGGCGCAAGCCUGUUGCAGCCAUGCCGCGUGUAUGAAGAAGGCCCUAGGGUUGUAAAGUACUUUCAGUCGGGAGGCGUUACCGACAGAAUAAGCACCGGCUAACUCCGUGCCAGCAGCCGCGGUAAUAC
rnacentral:rRNA from 1 species